GCCACCUUAGCUCAGUUGGCUAGAGCACCACUUUCGUAAAGUGGGGGUCCGGGGUUCGAAUCCCCGAGGUGGCUCCA
rnacentral:tRNA from 1 species